UACGGAGGGAGCUAGCGUUGUUCGGAAUUACUGGGCGUAAAGCGCGCGUAGGCGGCUUUGUAAGUUAGAGGUGAAAGCCCGGAGCUCAACUCCGGAACUGCCUUUAAGACUGCAUCGCUUGAAUCCGGGAGAGGUGAGUGGAAUUCCGAGUGUAGAGGUGAAAUUCGUAGAUAUUCGGAAGAACACCAGUGGCGAAGGCGGCUCACUGGCCCGAUACUGACGCUGAGGUGCGAAAGCGUGGGGAGCAAACAGG
rnacentral:rRNA from 1 species